rnacentral:rRNA from 1 species
AAUCAACGCUGGCGGCGUGCCUCAGACAUGCAAGUCGAACGAUUAAAGCUCUCUUCGGAGAGUGUAUAGAGUGGCGCACGGGUGAGUAACACGUAAGUAAUCUACCUUUGAGUGGGGAAUAACAGUCGGAAACGACUGCUAAUACCGCAUAAUGCAGCGGCAUCGCAAGAUGACAGUUGUUAAAGGAGCAAUCCGCUUAAAGAGGAGCUUGCGGCAGAUUAGCUAGUUGGUAAGGUAAUGGCUUACCAAGGCUACGAUCUGUAUCCGGUCUAAGAGGACGGUCGGACACACUGACACUGAAUAACGGGUCAGACUCCUACGGGAGGCAGCAGUCGGGAAUUUUGGGCAAUGGGCGAAAGCCUGACCCAGCAACGCCGCGUGAAGGAUGAAGUAUUUCGGUAUGUAAACUUCGAAAGAAUGGGAAGAAUAAAUGACGGUACC